rnacentral:tRNA from 1 species
GGAGUUGUAGCUCAGUGGUAGAGUGCUUGCCUAGCAUGCGUGAGGCACUGGGUUCAAUUCUCAGCACUACUA